rnacentral:pre_miRNA from 1 species
UAUGUACUCCCUCCGUUCCAAAUUACUUGUCGCAGAAAUGGAUGUAUCUAGAACUAAAAUACAUCUAAAUAUAUCCAUACCUACGACAAGUAAUUCGGAAGGGAGGGAGUACAAU